UACGAAGGGGGCGAGCGUUGUUCGGAAUUACUGGGCGUAAAGGGCGCGCAGGCGGCUCUGAAAGUCAGAUGUGAAAGCCCCGGGCUUAACCUAGGAAUUGCAUUUGAUACUCUGGAGCUUGAGUGUGGGAGAGGAGAGUGGAAUUCCCAGUGUAGAGGUGAAAUGCGCAGAUAUCAGGAGGAACACCGGUGGCGAAGGCGGAUCUCUGGGCCAUUACUGACGCUGAGGAGCGAAAGCGUGGGGAGCGAACAGG
rnacentral:rRNA from 1 species